GAGCGCGCGGGCUGUUCUAAGUAAAGAGCUACAGUGUGUUUCCAUCUGCAUUCAAAUACCAAUUGAGCAGAAACUUCAAGGCCUUCUUUCUGUAAACCAUUAAACCAAUAAGAAAUUUCUUACCAGGGGAGAGUCACAGAGAAGUAUAGAUGGACACAACACAAUGCCUUUAUUUUUAUGUGGUGCUGAGGAUCGAACCCUGGUCCCGCCUGUGCUAGAGCUUCUGAGCAGAAAGUUGUCCUCUGAUCCAGGAAAGAAACCCAGCCCACACUUCAGAGCAGAGUUCCAGAUCUGGGCCUUCGCCUGGCUCUGACCUUGAGGAUAUGGCAUUUAAUUCAAACAUCCAAGAGUUUUCCCUGAAGGGGCAGAAAAUUCAUUGGUAAAGACACUUGACCCACUCUGCCUGCAAUUCUUCUACAAUGAAUUGACUUCUGGAUUAAUGGCUCUUUUCUCAAAAGUCUAUUCAAUGUUAAUAAAUCCUAACUGGAUUAUCA